UGCCCUCCGUACUCAAACCCGCAUGAGCCUCCCCACAUUACCGACGAUACCAAGCAUUAUUCCAUAUACGGUCAAUGUAGGCCAGAAUGCCAUCCCCAUUCCCGACAAACUAUCUAAAAAAUCGGAAAAAGGGGAAUUUAUCGAACUAGCGGAGUUCUUACCCGACUCGUUCGGGGGUACCUCAACGAUACGGGUGAGAAACCCAGAAAAAAGCGCAGCGUUGCCAACAUAUUACAGUGGGUUGAAUGCUUUAACGCAUACGUCUCAUUUGUCACGCAACGUGACCCCACACGCGUGCAUGACCUUUUAGCGUAUUCCUCACUAAUCGUCCACACGGCCCGGAAAUACGCUGGAGACGGGUGGAUACAGUAUGAUAGAAACUUUAGAAAAGCAGCUGCAGCUAACCCAGCCAUGAAGUGGGGCGAGAUCUAUCAAACAUUUUAUGCUAUGGCUUUUGUAAAUGCAAAAACCAAAGAGCAUUGUUCAUUAUGCUUUAGCCUAGACCACGCAACGACGGAAUGCGAUGACUACGAACCUCCCAAAGCACCUACUAACUACCACAAACGACCUAUUGCGGCUGUCAACUCGGCAGCCGCAAUUGGAACUUUGGCACAUGCCCACACCUCCCAAACUGUCCUGUGUCUUGUGUGAGUAGAGUGUGUGUCUGUGAUAGUGCCGAGAGUGAACGUGUGUGGGUGUGAGUAGUGAGUGUGAAAAGUGAACAUGCAUGUAUAUGUGUGGGUGUGUGGAGGGGGUAUGCCAUUGGCCAGGAGUGAGUGUGUGAAGUGAACUUGUUUAUACAACACAUUGACCCUUCCUCCGCACACACGCAGUUUGUGAAGUUUGCCGAGCGAGAGGAAGGGAACACCCCCUACCACAGACAGUACGACUUCCUCAUCCACCGCUUUGCCUCUCUUAGCCUCACCAAGAAUGUUGACGACACCGAUAAAUAUCACGAGACGCGGAUGGCUGGGUUGCAAGGACUGAGGGGAGUGAUAAAGAUCACAUGAACAAGAUAGUGCCGCCCUUCCUCUUCAAUAUGCACAGUCACAGUGUCGCCCAGUCAAGGUAUACUGUCUAGGAAAGUCACUACAAUUUGCUUCAGUUCUACUCCUGGAGCAUACACAUACUUCAAUGAGUAAAUGUUGAUAGCCUCAGUCUGUAUCAAACGUACCUAUUGAUGGCCUUAGAUAAUUAUACAGUGUGUGCCAAUAGUAACCUCCCUCCCACUCUGACAGAGAGUCUGGUGAGAUCCAGCCUGUUGUGGAGGAGGGGGACAGUCUGGGGGGGUACUCUCAGGAUAGUCUCACUGCAGGAGCUUAUCGCUUUUGCCGGACUCUCUCCCAUCGAUAGUGUCCUCAAGCCAAUACUACAACACUAUGACCUAAACAAACUAUAGAUAUCGGACAAGGAAUUCACAGCUGGUGUGUACGCCAUCGUUGUGGAAGCCAUGCAGAGACAGGAUCGGUACAAGGCCGUCCAGUUGCUGGUGGACCACGUGGAUGCCAAGGUGAAGGAG